rnacentral:lncRNA from 1 species
AACUGAAAACAGGGAUAUUCAAGUCAACAGCAUUGCAGAGAGAGUAAUCAAAGGCCAAAAAAUGUGCAAGCUGUAUCAGCAAGUUAAGGUGAAAGAUCUCUGGCAGGCCUACCAGAAGGUGGACACCAGGAUAGCAUCUGCUAACUCCCCAUUGGUCUCCUCCUAUGACCUGGGGGUUGCUGUUACUGGUAAAUAUAUGGAGAGUGGUGGGCAGCUAUAUGCAUCUCAACUUUCACUUGACUAUAGAAAACGGGAAGGAGCUUUGGUACCUGUCAGAUGCUUCUGGGAGUUGUGCUUCAUCUUUAUGCUUUUGGCAAGGGAAGACUUUCAGACUUGCUCACCAAAUGUCUUGUGCAGCUCUACUCUGAGGUUUCUGGUCUAUGAACUAAAUCAUUCUCCCACUCUAUUAUGCAACACAAGUCUGUUGAACCUCCGUAUGGACUGUUUUACCAACUUGAGCUGCUUGCUGAACUUUCUUGACAUACACCUGCAUCCCUCAGUCCCUCACCUUAGUGAAGAAAAGCUGCACGGAUUUGUGAGUUUUUCUUUAAUGCUCUCAAAAAAAAAAAAAAAAAAAGACCAAGAUAUGAAAGUAAUCUGCUCCAAAAUUCCAGUGCAUUGA